CCCACACUCAUGUGUAGAACCCCAAAUGAUCACUAUUAAAUUUGGCACAGAUAUCUAGAAAAGUUAUCACAUGGGUGUGGGACUUGACUUUUCUAAAAGUCUGUGUCAAAUUUAAUGGUGAUCCUUUGGGGUCUUACACACAUGGGUGUGGG
rnacentral:pre_miRNA from 1 species